UGAAAGAUAAGCUAAAUUUAAGCUAAUAGGUUCAUACCCUGUAAAUGAAAUUAAUUAUAUUCUCUUUCUA
rnacentral:tRNA from 1 species